rnacentral:lncRNA from 1 species
AUAUUUGUGUUUUAAUAGUUUUUUCCUACUUGCAUGAAUAAACAAUAUCCAAAUUGAAUAGUUAACUACAUCAGAUUUAAGUCUAAAAUAAACAAUACUACGUCAUUGUACAAACAUGUGAAAAUACAAUUUGUUUUCCCAAUGAGUUUGAGCCUAUCAAAAAGAACCUAAACCAAACCCAAAACCCCAUCCCUCAUUUCUAGAAACUAAGAGAGAAAAAAAAUGGGUUCUCUUACCAAAGUAGACCAAGGAAAACAGCAACCUCAUGCAGUGCUCUUCCCAUACCCAUCUCAAGGCCACAUAAGUCCCAUGCUAAAGCUUGCAAAACUCUUUCACCACAAAGGCUUUCACAUAACGUUUGUCAAUACAGAAUACAACCAUAGACGUCUCCUCAGAUCCCGAGGUCCCAACUCUUUGGAUGGCUUGCCUGACUUUCAUUUUAGAGCCAUUCCCGACGGCCUCCCACCGUCCGACGGCAACUCCACCCAACAUGUUCCUUCACUCUGCUAUUCCGCUUCCCGCAAUUGUUUGGCUCCACUCUGUAGUCUCAUUUCGGAGAUCAACUCGAGUGGCACUGUUCCACCAGUUUCCUGUAUUAUUGGCGAUGGGGUCAUGACUUGUUAGAAAUUAAUAAGCUAGAUACAUUAUGGAUAACAAAUUAAUAGAUACAUUUCUAGUUUCAAGAUACAUAUGCAUUUCUAGAUACAUGUAAUUAUUCAAGUACAUGAAUGGUAUGUAUUCAUGUACUUCAUUUAUUUUGUGUCUUUUAGGAAGUGUCUCUUGAAUACUAUAUAUAUAGAGAUCAUUUCCUUCAUUUAUAUACAAGAUAAAAGAAUCAAAUCAAUAGAAGCAAAUAUUGAGUUUUAGAAAGUAAGUGAGUUUCAAGAGAACAACAUUCUUCUCUUGUGUGUUAUUGAGUUUUCUAAGAGAAAAAAUUUCUUCUCUUAAAAGUUUGUGAGAUUUAGAGUGAAUUUAGAGUGGGCUCGUCAACGCCUCCAACAAAGUGGUAUCAGAGCAAGGAUUGAAAGAUGUCAUCUAACAUGUUGCAGCCUCAACCUCGUUUUGAGGGAAAAAACUAUAGGCGGUGGAGCCAGCAAAUGAAGGUUCUUUAUGGAUCUCAAGAUCUUUGGGAUAUUGUUGACAUCGGAUAUUCAGAGCCAGAAAGUGAGAAUGGUCUUUCAGCACAACAACUCAAUGAGUUGAGAGAUGCUAGAAAAAAGAUAAGAAGGCAUUAUUUUUCAUCUACCAAUCUGUGGAUGAAAAUAUUUUUGAAAGAAUAUCAGGAGUCUCUACUGCUAAAGCAGCAUGGGAUGCAUUGCAAAAUUUGUAUGAAGGAGAAGAAAAGGUAAAAUUGGUCCGGUUACAAACACUUCGAGCUGAAUUUGAUACAAUUCGAAUGAAAGAUUCUGAAACUAUUGAAGAAUUUUUCAACCGUGUUCUCUUAAUUGUUAAUCAAUUGAGAUCAAAUGGAGAAACAAUUGAAGAUCAAAGGAUUGUUGAGAAGAUUCUUAGAAGCAUGACUAGAAGAUAUGAGCAUUGUUGUUGUAGCAAUUGAAGAAUCCAAAGAUUUGUCAACUCUCUCUAUAAAUAGCUUAAUGGGAUCUCUUCAAUCUCAUGAGCUCAGAUUGAAGAUGUUUGAUUCUACUCCUUCAGAAGAAGCUUUUCAUAUGCAGUCCUCCUAUAGAGGUCGAUCCAAUGGAAGAAGAGGUGGACGUGGUGGUAGAGGCAAUGGACGAUCCAACGUUGUAACAAAUACAGAGUCAGAAAGCAGGGACAAUCAAUUUUUUUCAAAUAGAGGACGAGGAAGAAGUUCAAAUAGAGGAAGAGGUAGAAGUGGUGGUCGUGGAGAUUUUUCUCACAUACAAUGUUUCAAUUGUAGACGUUAUGGACAUUUUCAAGCAGACUGUUGGUCUAAGAAGACUAAUUCUAAUCAAGCAGAAACCACACUAAUGCAUGAGCAAUCAAAUAAUGAUCAAGGUCUUCUCUUCCUCACUCUCAAUGUUCAAGAAUCAAGCACUGAAGAAAUAUGGUAUCUUGAUAGUGGUUGUAGUAACCACAUGACAGGAAGAAAGGAUAUUUUUAUAUCUUUAGAUGAAUCUCAUCAAAAUGUAGUGAAGACUGGUGACAACAAGAUGCUUGAAGUCAAAGGAAAAGGAGAUAUUCUUGUCAAGACAAAAAUGGGAGCAAAAAAAAUUACUGAUGUGUAUUAUGUUUCAGGUCUCAAACACAAUCUUUUAAGUGUUGGACAACUUCUCCUAAGAGGACAUGAUGUUAUUUUUAAAGAUAACAUAUGUGAGAUUAGAACCAAGAAUGGAGAUCUCAUAACGAAGGUUCGUAUGACUCACAACAAAAUGUUUCCAAUUAAAAUAUGUUAUGAGAAGCUUGUUUGUUUUGAGACUUUAGUAAAUGACACCUCAUGGUUAUGGCAUUGUCGAUUUUGGGCACCUAAGUUUUGACACUUUGUCUCACAUGUGUCAACAACAUAUGGUGAGAGGAAUUGUCAAAUUAAAAAGGAAGAUCAACUCUGUGAAGCAUGUGUUUCGGAAAGCAUCAUCGAAAUUCAUUUCCGACUGGAGGUUCUUGGAGAGCAUCAAAACCACUCGAGCUUGUUCAUACAGACUUAUGUGGACCUAUGAGAACUACUACACAUGGAGGUAACCGUUAUUUUCUCACAUUUAUUGAUGACUACAGUCGAAAAACAUGGAUUUAUCUACUAAAAGAAAAGAGUGCUACUUUCGAAUGUUUCAAGACAUUCAAAGCAAUGGUGGAAAAUGAAAGUAACUUGAAAUUGAAAUCAUUGCGUUCGGAUCGUGGAGGAGAAUAUAUUGUUUUUGCAGAUUUCUUGAAGGAAAAUGGAAUCAAGCAUCAGAAGACUGUUCGAAGAACUCCUCAACAAAACGGAGUUGCAGAGAGGAAAAAUAGAAUAAUAAUGGAACUUGCAAGAAGUAUGUUGAAGGCAAAGAAGCUUCCUGAUCAAUUUUGGGGAGACGCAGUAACUUGUGCUGUUUAUCUCCUAAAUAGAGCUUCAACGAAAAGUGUGCAAGGUAUUACUCCUCAAGAAGCAUGGAGCGGAUUGAAACCAACCGUUAGUCACCUAAGAGUGUUUGGGUGCAUUGCUUACUCUCACAUUUCAGAUGAGAAAAGAGGUAAGCUAGAUGAUAAAUCAGAGAAAUGCAUUUUUGUUGGGUACAGUGAGAACUCUAAGGCCUACAGACUAUACAAUCCGAUAAGUAAGAAAGUUAUUAUUAGUCGAGAUGUCAAGUUCGAUGAAGCAAAAUUGUGGCAAUGGAAUGCACCAAAUGAAGACCAAAAUCCAUUACAUGUUGAUAUGGAUGGAAAAAAAGAUGCUCGAGACUUGGAGCUUGAAGUAACUCAACCACUGACUUCACCUUCUUCAUCACACUCCACAAGUGAUGAAGAAACUACUCCAAGGAAGACCAGAAAUAUUCAAGAGAUCUAUAAUACUUCAAGAAGGAUACUAGAUGAAGAACAUGUUGAUUUUGCUUUAUUUGCAAAUGUUGAUCCUGUAUACUUUGAAGAAGCAAUUCAAGAUGAAAAUUGGAAAGAUGCAAUGAAUCAAGAGAUUGAUGCAAUAAGAAGAAACGAGACAUGGGAGUUAGUAAAAUUACCAGAAAAUAAAAAGGCUCUUGGAGUCAAAUGGAUCUAUAGAACAAAGCUAAAGCAAAACGGAGAAGUGCAAAAAUACAAAGCCAGACUCGUUGUAAAAGGUUACAAACAAAAGUUUGGUGUGGAUUAUGAAGAAGUUUUUGCACCGGUAACUCGCUUGGAGACUGUUCGUUUGUUGUUAGCCCUUGCAGCAAAAAAUAACUGGAAAGUUCAUCAAAUGGAUGUAAAGUCAGCAUUCCUAAAUGGGUAUUUAGAGGAUGAAAUAUAUGUUGAGCAACCCCCGGUUAUGCAAAGAUUGGAGAAGAAAAUAAGGUGUGUCGAUUAAAGAAAGCCUUGUAUGGGCUAAAGCAAGCACCAAGGGCUUGGUACAGUCGCAUCGACAAUUUUUUCUUAAAGGAUGGUUUCAGAAGAUGUCCAUAUGAACAUGCUCUCUACACCAAAGAAGAUGAAAAUGGUAAUUUCUUGAUAAUUUGUCUAUAUGUUGAUGAUUUAAUAUUUACGGGCAACUCAAAUAUGAUGAUUGAAGAAUUCAAAGAGAGCAUGAAAAAGGAAUUUGAGAUGACUGAUAUGGGUUUACUUCAUUAUUUUCUUGGUAUUGAAGUUAAACAAGGUGAUAAUGAGAUUGCAAUUUUCCAAAAGAAGUAUGCAAAAGAUUUGUUGAAAAAGUUCAAAAUGGAGAAUGCUUAUCCUGCCAGUACUCCUAUGGAAUUGGGUUUAAAGUUAAGUAAGCAUGAUGUUAGUGAAGCUUUUGAUGCCACCAUUUAUAGAAGUUUGGUUGGAAGUUUAAUGUAUUUAACUACAACUAGACCUGAUAUUAUGUUCUCGGUCAGUUUAUUGAGUAGAUUUAUGACAUCACCAAAGAAAGUCAUUGGGAAGCUGGAAAGAGAGUUCUUAGAUACAUUCUUGGAACUGUUGAUCAUGGAAUCCACUAUAAAAGGAAUGUGGAUAAUGUUCUUGUUGGCUACAGUGAUAGUGAUUGGGGAGGAAAUAUUGAUGAUUUCAAAAGUACUUCUGGGUAUGUAUUUAAUAUUGGUUCUGGAGCAGUUUCAUGGGCAUCAAAGAAGCAAGAUGUUGUAGCAUUGUCCACAACAGAAGCUGAAUACAUUUCUUUGUCUGUUGCUAGUUGUCAAGCACUUUGGCUAAGAAAUGUACUACAUGAAUUGAAGUGUCCUCAAGAGAAAGGAACCAUCAUGUUCUGUGACAAUCAAUCAUCUAUUUCACUUUCGAAGAAUCCCGUUUUUCAUGGAAGAAGCAAACACAUAAACAUCAAAUAUCAUUUCAUCAAAGAAUUGAUCAAAGAUGGAGAAGUAUAUAUCAGGUAUUGCAAGACUCAAGAUCAAGUUGCAGACGUAUUCACAAAAGCAUUAAAGACAGAUUCAUUCUUGAAAAUGAAAGAGAAGCUCGGAGUUUGGGAAGUCUAGCUUAAGGGGGCAUGUUAGAAAUUAAUAAGCUAGAUACAUUAUGGAUAACACAUUAAUAGAUACAUUUCUAGUUUCAAGAUACAUAUGCAUUUCUAGAUACAUGUAAUUAUUCAAGUACAUGAAUGGUAUGUAUUCAUGUACUUCAUUUAUUUUGUGUCUUUUAGGAAGUGUCUCUUGAAUACUAUAUAUAGAGAUCAUUUCCUUCAUUUGUAUACAAGAUAAAAGAAUCAAAUCAAUAGAAGCAAAUAUUGAGUUUUAGAAAGUAAGUGAGUUUCAAGAGAACAACAUUCUUCUCUUGUGUGUUAUUGAGUUUUCUAAGAGAAAAAAUUUCUUCUCUUAAAAGUUUGUGAGAUUUAGAGUAAAUUUAGAGUGGGCUCGUCAACGCCUCCAACAAAUUUUACGCAUUCUAGUACCUAAAUUUCAUAAGUGAUUGUCUUCUAACGAACUAUAUUUUGUGGAAUUAAAUUGAAAUUUGAACAAAAGUUACAAAAAGAAGAAAUUAGAAGAAGAUACAUAUUUGUGUUUUAAUAGUUUUUUCCUACUUGCAUGAAUAAACAAUAUCCAAAUUGAAUAGUUAACUAUAUGAGAUUUAAGUCUAAAAUAAACAAUACUACGUCAUUAUACAAACAUGUGAAAAUACAAUUUGUUUUCCCAAUGAGUUUGAGCCUAUAAAAAAGAACCUAAACCAAACCCAAAACCCCAUCCCUCAUUUCUCUUCAAAACAAAUCCUUACAUACAAACUAAGAGAGAGAAAAAAAAUGGGUUCUCUUACCAAAGUAGACCAAGGAAAACAGCAACCUCAUGCAGUGCUCUUCCCAUACCCAUCUCAAGGCCACAUAAGUCCCAUGCUAAAGCUUGCAAAACUCUUUCACCACAAAGGCUUUCACAUAACGUUUGUCAAUACAGAAUACAACCAUAGACGUCUCCUCAGAUCCCGAGGUCCCAACUCUUUGGAUGGCUUGCCUGACUUUCAUUUCAGAGCCAUUCCCGACGGCCUCCCACCGUCCGACGGCAACUCCACCCAACAUA